rnacentral:rRNA from 1 species
UUCAAAUUACACAAGGUAGUAAAAAUUAAUUAAACCAAUAAAGUUUGGCAGUUAUGACUUUAUAAAGAAACUUGUUUUAUAAUCGAUAAUACUCGUUAAAUUUAACUUUUUUUAAAAAUUUAUAUACCGCCGUUUAAGGAGUAAAAUAAAACAAAUUCCAAAUUCAAUAAUUUUUAAAAAAAUCAGGUCAAGGUAUAAUCAAUAAAUAAGAAUAAAUUAGUUACAAAUAAAAAGAAAUUAAGAAUUAUAAAUAAAAUUUAUUAUGAAAAAGAAUUUAUACUCAAUUAAAAAGAUUAAGAAUUAUUAAUGAAAUAAAUUAUCAUAAUGC